UCGAGUUAGGGUCCUCUGGGCUCGACCUCCAACCCUGUGUCUACCUAACCACGUUGCUUCGGCGGGCCCGUCUCACGACCGCCGGGGGGUGAAUCACCCCCUGGCCCGCGCCCGCCGAUGGCCCUCCAAAACAAACUCUGUAUAACUGUGUUGUCUGAGUCAAAAACAAAAAAUUAAAAACA
rnacentral:misc_RNA from 1 species